rnacentral:lncRNA from 1 species
ACGAGGCUGACGCGGCGGCCCUGUCCCCGUAACUGUGACACGGGUGCACGCGAGCGUCAUUGGGGGCGAUGGGGGCCGUGCUGGGUGCGCGUUUGCACCAGUGACGCAGCCGCUGCAUCUCCGCCAGUCCGCGCAGCCAGCAUCCUUCAGAAAAAGCAUCCCCGAGGAGGAAGACGAAUCGUUAAACAUCUGAAAGGGUCAGCCAGCAUCCUUCAGAAAAAGCAUCCCCGAGGAGGAAGACGAAUCGUUAAACAUCUUAGGUCAGUCUAGCCUCUCGGAAUUUGUCUUCUUCAGUGGAAACCCCGAGAAGACUGAUCAGUUCUUCAGUUCUAAAACAAUGGCCCAGGUUUGGUGACGUUCGCCGACGUAGCCAUAGACUUUUCUCAGGAGGAGUGGGCCUGUCUGAACUCUGCUCAGAGGGACCUGUACUGGGACGUGAUGCUGGAGAACUACAGUAACUUGGUCUCACUGGUUUGGAGUCAGCAUAUGAAAAUAAGAGUUUACCUACAGAAAAAAACAUUCAUGAAAUAAGGGCUUCCAAAAGGAAUUCAGAUAGAAGAAGUAAAUCCCUUGGCCGUAACUGGAUAUGUGA